rnacentral:rRNA from 1 species
CUUAAAGCCAGUCUCAGUUCGGAUUGUAGGCUGCAACUCGCCUACAUGAAGUCGGAAUCGCUAGUAAUCGCGGAUCAGCACGCCGCGGUGAAUACGUUCCCGGGCCUUGUACACACCGCCCGUCACACCACGAGAGUUUGUAACACCCGAAGUCGGUGAGGUAACCUAUUAGGAGCCAGCCGCCUAAGGUGGGAUAGAUGAUUGGGGUGAAGUCGUAACAAGGUAUC